rnacentral:rRNA from 1 species
CCUACGGGAGGCAGCAGUGGGGAAUAUUGGACAAUGGGCGCAAGCCUGACCCAGCAACGCCGCGUGAGGGAAGAAGGCUCUCGGGUUGUAAACUUCUUUUAUCAGGGACGAAGCAAGUGACGGUACCUGAUGAAUAAGCCACGGCUAACUACGUGACAGCAGCCGCGGUAAUACGUAGGUGGCAAGCGUUAUCCGGAUUUACUGGGUGUAAAGGGCGUGUAGGCGGGAAAGUAAGUCAGAUGUGAAAACCAUGGGCUCAACCUGUGGCCUGCAUUUGAAACUGUUUUUCUUGAGUACUGGAGAGGCAGACGGAAGUCCUAGUGUAGCGGUGAAAUGCGUAGAUAUUAGGAGGAACACCAGUGGCGAAGGCGGUCUGCUGGACAGCAACUGACGCUGAGGCGCGAAAGCGUGGGGAGCAAACAGGAUUAGAUACCCCGGUAGUC